GGCCGGAUAGCUCAGUCGGUAGAGCAGGGGAUUGAAAAUCCCCGUGUCCCUGGUUCGAUUCCAGGUCCGGCCACCA
rnacentral:tRNA from 1 species